AAGUUUUGCAUGGAAUAAUGGAAUAGGACUUCGGUUCUAUUUCGUUGGUUUUCGGAUCCGAAGUAAUGAUCAAGAGAGACAGGCGGGGACGUUUGUAUGGUUGCGCUAGAGGUGAAAUUCUUGGACCGUAGCCAGACAAACUAAAGCGAAAGCAUUCGUCAAGCAUGUUUUCAUUGGCCAUGAGCGAAAGUCAGAGGCUCGAAGACGAUCAGAUACCGUCCUAGUUCUGACCAUAAACGAUGCCAACUGACGAUCCGUGGUGGUAGUAUUUAAACCUUCCUCACGGGCAGUCCCCGGGAAACCAUUAAGUCUAUGGGUUCCGGGGGAAGUAUGGUUGCAAAGCUGAAACUUAAAGGAAUUGACGGAAGGGCACCACCAGGAGUGGAGCCUGCGGCUUAAUUUGACUCAACACGGGAAAACUCACCCGGCCCGGACACUAUGAGGAUUGACAGAUUGAAAGC
rnacentral:rRNA from 1 species